GGGGCCGUAGCUCAAUUGGGAUAGAGCGUCCCCCUUACGAAGGGACAGGUUGUGGGUUCGAGACCCACCGGCCCCG
rnacentral:tRNA from 1 species